rnacentral:rRNA from 1 species
UACGGAGGGUGCAAACGUUGCUCGGAAUCAUUGGGCGUAAAGUGCACGUAGGCGGCACAGCAAGUCGGGUGUGAAAGCCCUCGGCUUAACCGAGGAAGUGCAUUCGAAACUACUGAGCUUGAAUACUGGAGAGGAUCGCGGAAUUCCCGGUGUAGAGGUGAAAUUCGUAGAUAUCGGGAGGAACACCAGUGGCGAAGGCGGCGAUCUGGACAGAUAUUGACGCUGAUGUGCGAAAGCGUGGGGAGCAAACAGG